AUGCACGGGUUCCACGACUACUCGGUCGACCUCUCCUGUGUCAACCGAGCAUGCAUUGUGCUUCUACCGAAGGGAGAGGGGGUUCUUGUGCCCGGCGGGUUCCGUCCAAUCUCUCUCCAGAACUGUGAUGUCAAGAUCCCGUGCAAGGUCCUGACCACGCGUCUACAACAACAAAUCGCGGACGUGGUCGAUAUUGACCAGUCUGGGUUCAUCCGGGGGCGGAGCAUCUCCGAGAACUUUGUGUUCGCUACGGAGAUUGUGCAAUGUUGCGAAUCUCGCCGAGCUCCUGCCCUUGUUCUGAAGCUGGAUUUCGCCAAGUCCUUCGACUCUAUCAACUGGCGAAGUCUUCGCCGGAUCAUGGAGGUUCGCGGUUUCCCCCCUCUCUAGUGUAAAUGGAUGGACUCGAUCCUCCAGUCGUCCAUGUCCGCGGUGAUGCUCAACGGUGUGCUGGGGAGGUGGAUCAGCUGCAAGAAAGGGCUGCGGCAGGGAGAUCCCCUGUCGCCGUACCUUUUUCUGCUGGUCGUGGAUGUGCUCCAACAACUGAUC
rnacentral:rRNA from 1 species